rnacentral:rRNA from 1 species
UGGGGAAUUUUGGACAAUGGGCGAAAGCCUGAUCCAGCAAUGCCGCGUGUGUGAAGAAGGCCUUCGGGUUGUAAAGCACUUUUGUCCGGAAAGAAAUCCUUGGCUCUAAUACAGUCGGGGGAUGACGGUACCGGAAGAAUAAGCACCGGCUAACUACGUGCCAGCAGCCGCGGUAAUGCGUAGGGUGCAAGCGUUAAUCGGAAUUACUGGGCGUAAAGCGUGCGCAGGCGGUUUGCUAAGACCGAUGUGAAAUCCCCGGGCUCAACCUGGGAACUGCAUUGGUGACUGGCAGGCUAGAGUAUGGCAGAGGGGGGUAGAAUUCCACGUGUAGCAGUGAAAUGCGUAGAGAUGUGGAGGAAUACCGAUGGCGAAGGCAGCCCCCUGGGCCAAUACUGACGCUCAUGCACGAAAGCGUGGGGAGCAAAACAGGAUUAGAUACCCCUGGUAGUCCACGCCCUAAACGAUGUCAACUAGUUGUUGGGGAUUCAUUUCCUUAGUAACGUAGCUAACGCGUGAAGUUGACCGCCUGGGGAGUACGGUCGCAAGAUUAAAACUCAAAUGAAUUGACGGGGUCAUA